rnacentral:rRNA from 1 species
ACGGGUGAGUAAUACUUAGGAAUCUGGCCCAAUAGUGGGGGACAACAUUCGGAAACGGAUGCUAAUACCGCAUACGCACUACGGUGGAAAUGGGGGACCUUCGGGCCUCACGCUAUUGGAUGAGCCUAAGUCGGAUUAGCUUGUUGGUGAGGUAAAAGCUCACCAAGGCGACGAUCCGUAGCUGGUCUGAGAGGACGAUCAGCCACACUGGGACUGAGACACGGCCCAG